rnacentral:rRNA from 1 species
UACGUAGGGGGCAAGCGUUGUCCGGAAUCAUUGGGCGUAAAGCGCGCGUAGGCGGCCCUGUAAGUCCGUUGUGAAAGUCGAAGGCUCAACCUUCGAAAGCCGAUGGAUACUGCAGGGCUAGAGUCCGGAAGAGGCGAGUGGAAUUUCUGGUGUAGCGGUGGAAUGCGCAGAUAUCAGGAGGAACACCAAUAGCGAAGGCAGCUCGCUGGGACGGUACUGACGCUAAGGCGCGAAAGCGUGGGGAGCGAACAGG